rnacentral:lncRNA from 1 species
GUCAAAAGACCAAUUAGUGGAAAAAAAAGACGUGUAAAUGCAGCCCAUGUUACUCUUUUCAACAGAUCUUUACCAUGUGACUUCACGUUUUUUUCUUGGAUUGCUGAACAUACCACGUCUCGUUCAGCGCUUUGACGUCCUGAGACAUACUGCUGAUGUAAUUGGGCAUCUGGACACCAGUGCAUUCUUGAACCAAGUAACUUGGUCUCACUCCUCCAAAGAUGGGGCCAGGACCACCUCCGAUUCCCUCCCUGGCAGCUUUGUGGUCGUAAAGCACAGGGCUCCCGAGUGGCGCAGUGGUCUAAGGGACUGCAUCUCAGUGCAAGAGGCGUUACUACAGUCCCUGGUUCAAUUCCAGGCUGUAUCACAUCCAUCUGUGAUCGGGUGUCCCGUAGGGCGGCGCGCAAUUGGCCCGGCAUCGUCAGGGUUUGGCCAGGGGUGCACAUGCCAUACCAUGGCUUCUCUGUGUGAGGCAACGGAGUCCAGCAUAGCCAUCUCCUUCUGCUGCUGUGCCAUUGAGCAAUAAUAGCCUUGGCAAUGAGCUCCUCAUUGUCCAUCUGCCCCUGCUGUUGUGGAGCCAAUUUAUUAAUGAUCCUCUCCCUGUGCAUAUGGACCUCCCUUAGGAGGGAGAAGAGGCUUCACAAAUCUAUGCCCAUGAGACUUUCAGAAUUGUAAGACAACUGUUGACUAGUGAUGCCACAGAUAUAUAUUUCUUAUUGUGGUACUUCAAAUGUUUUCUCAUGUGAUUUCCUUUUUCAACCAUGUUCUACUCACCUGAACAUCUCUUCCUCUUUGUCUUUCCUUAACUUCACAAUUUUCUGUUUUGCAUUUGCAAAAAGCCUCCUGCGCUCCUCCUCCAUCUCUUGCUUUUGUGCCUAUAUUGCUCUAAUGAUAUCUCUGUUAGAGAGAUGCUUCUUUAAAUACAAAUGCAGGAUUCAUUAAUACACCUCCAUGAAUCUUGUGUAAUAUUGCUCUUACAUCCUAAAACCUUAACAUGUGAGCUUUCAUGGUAUUUAUUAAGCCUUCCCUGUAUCUCAGUUGGUAGAGCAUGGUGUUUGCAAUGCAUGGUGUUUGCAAUGCCAGGGUUGUGGGUUCGAUUCCCACGGGGGGCCAGUAUGGGAAAGAGAGAGGGAAAAAAAAGUUAUGAAAUGUAUGCAUUCACUACUGUAAGUCGCUCUGGAUAAGAGCAUCUGCUAAAUGACAUAAAUGUAAUUUCUCUGCUGCGCUGCUUUCUUUUGCUCCUGCAUGCCUUGCUUCCACAGAAAAAGCAACUUUAGUCGCUGGAGUUCCUCUGCCUCUUUGUCUUCCAGCUUCUCUUUUUGUCUUCCAGCUUCUCCCGUUCUCUAUCUAUUUCAUGUUCCCUCCCCCUUCUAUGGGACGAGACGAUUCAUCAUACUAAACCAUUGAGAG